CCUUCGGGAGGCAGCAGUGGGGAAUUUUGCCCAAUGGGCGCAAACCUGAUGCAGCCAUCCCGCGUGGAUGAAGAAGGCCUUCGGGUUGUAAAGUCCUUUCAGCGGGGAGAGAGGGAGUAAAGUUAAUCCCUUUGGUCAUAGGCGUUACCCGCAGAAGAAGCCCCGGCUAACUUCGUGCCAGCAGCCGCGGUAAUUCGGAGGGUGCAAGCGUUAAUUGGAAUUUCUUGGCGUAAAGCGCACGCAGGCGGUUUGUUAAAUCAGAAGUGAAAUCCCCGGGGUCAACCUGGGAACUGCAUUUGAUACUGGCAAGCUUGAAUUUCGUAGAGGGGGGUAGAAUUCCAGGUGUAGCGGUGAAAUGCGUAGAAAUUGGGAGGAAUACCGGUGGCGAAGGCGGCCCCCUGGACGAAGACUGACGCUCAGGUGCGAAAGCGUGGGGAGCAAACCGGAUUAGAUACCCUGGUAGUCCCCCCCGUAAACGAUGUCGACUGGGGGGUUGUGCCCUUGAGGCGUCAGUCCGGAGCUAACGCGAUAAGUCGACCGCCUGGAUACG
rnacentral:rRNA from 1 species